GAGUUUGAUCUUGGCUCAGAUUGAACGCUGGCGGCAUGCCUUACACAUGCAAGUCGAACGGUAACAGGUUAAGCUGACGAGUGGCGAACGGGUGAGUAAUACAUCGGAACGUGCCCAGACGUGGGGGAUAGCUCGGCGAAAGCCGGAUUAAUACCGCAUGUGAUCUGAGGAUGAAAGCGGGGGACCGUAAGGCCUCGCGCGUUUGGAGCGGCCGAUGGCAGAUUAGGUAGUUGGUGGGGUAAAGGCUUACCAAGCCUACGAUCUGUAGCUGGUCUGAGAGGACGACCAGCCACACUGGGACUGAGACACGGCCCAGACUCCUACGGGAGGCAGCAGUGGGGAAUUUUGGACAAUGGGCGCAAGCCUGAUCCAGCAAUGCCGCGUGCAGGAUGAAGGCCUUCGGUUGUAACU
rnacentral:rRNA from 1 species